GACGAACGCUGGCGGCGUGCUUAACACAUGCAAGUCGAACGGAAAGGCCCUGCUUUUGUGGGGUGCUCGAGUGGCGAACGGGUGAGUAACACGUGAGUAACCUGCCCUUGACUUUGGGAUAACUUCAGGAAACUGGGGCUAAUACCGGAUAGGAGCUCCCGCUGCAUGGUGGGGGUUGGAAAGUUUCGGCGGUUGGGGAUGGACGCGCGGCUUAUCAGCUUGUUGGUGGGGUAGUGGCUUACCAAGGCAUUGACGGGUAGCCGGCCUGAGAGGGUGACCGGCCACAUUGGGACUGAGAGACGGCCCAGACUCCUACGGGAGGCAGCAGUGGGGAAUAUUGCACAAUGGGCGGAAGCCUGAUGCAGCAACGCCGCGUGCGGGAUGACGGCCUUCGGGUUGUAAACCGCUUUCGCCUGUGACGAAGCGUGAGUGACGGUAAUGGGUAAAGAAGCACCGGCUAACUACGUG
rnacentral:rRNA from 1 species